GGUGAGUAAUGCAUCGUAACGUGCCCAGGAGUGGGGGAUAACGUAACGAAAGUUACGCUAAUACCGCAUACGUACUGAGGUACAAAGCGGGGGAUCGAAAGACCUCGCGCUCAUGGAGCGGCCGAUGUCCGAUUAGCUAUUUGGCGGGGUAAAGGCCCACCAAGGCGACGAUCCGUAUCUGGUCUGAGAGGACGACCAGCCACACUGGGACUGAAACACACCCAGACUCCUACGGGAGGCGCAGUGGGGAAUCUUGGACAAUGGGGGAAACCCUGAUCCAGCAAUGCCGCGUGUGGGAUGAAGGCCCUCGGGUUGUAAACCACUUUUGGCUUGAAAGAAAUCGCUUGUGCUAAUACCAUGGGCGGAUGACGGUACCUGCACAAUAAGCACCGGCUAACUACAUGCCAGCACCCGCGGUAAUACGUAUGGUGCGAGCGUUAAUCUGAAUUACUGGGCGUAAAGCGUGCGUACGCGGUUUUGUAAUACAGAUGUGAAAUCCCCGGGCUCAACCUGGGAACUGCAUUUGUGACUGCUAGACUAGAGUGUGUCUCAGGGAGGUGGAAUUCCACGUGUAGCAGUGACAUGCAUAUAGAUGCAGAAGAACACCAAUGGCGAAGGCAGCCUCCUGGGAUAACACUGACACUCACGCACGAAAGCGUGAGGAGCAAACACGAUUAGAUACCCUGGUAGUCCACGCCCUAAACGAUGUCAACUACUUGUUGGGGAUUCAUUUCCUUAGUAACGUAGCUAACGCGUGAAGUUGACCGCCUGGGGAGUACGGCCGCAAGGUUAAAACUCAAAGGAAUUGACGGGGACCCGCACAAGCGGUGGAUGAUGUGGAUUAAUUGGAUGCAACGCGACAAACCUUACUUACCCUUGACAUGUCGAGAACUUUUCAGAGAUGAAUUCGUGCCCGAAAGGGAACUCGAACACAGGUGGUGCAUGGUCGUCGUCAGCUCGUGUCGUGAGAUGUUGGUUUAAGUCCCGCAACGAGCGCAACCCUUUUCCUUAGUUGGUACGCAAGAGCACUCUAAGGAUACUGCCGGUGACAAACCGGAGGAAGGUGGGGAUGACGUCAAGUCCUCAUGGCCCUUAUGGGUAGGGCUUCACACGUCAUACAAUGGUCGGUACAGAGGGUCGCCAACCCGCGAGGGGGAGCCAAUCCCACAAAACCGAUCGUAGUCCGGAUUGCAGUCUGCAACUCGACUGCAUGAAGUCGGAAUCGCUAGUAAUCGCGGAUCAGCAUGUCGCGGUGAAUACGUUCCCGGGUCUUGUACACACCGCCCGUCACACCAUGGGAGUGGGUUUUACCAGAAG
rnacentral:rRNA from 1 species